UACGUAGGGUGCAAGCGUUGUCCGGAAUUAUUGGGCGUAAAGAGCUCGUAGGCGGUUUGUUGCGUCGGCUGUGAAAUCCCGAGGCUCAACCUCGGGUCUGCAGUCGAUACGAGCAAACUAGAGUGUUGCAGGGGAGACUGGAAUUCCUGGUAUAGCGGUGAAAUGCGCAGAUAUCAGGAGGAACACCGGUGGCGAAGGCGGGUCUCUGGGCUGACACUGACGCUCAUGCACGAAAGCGUGGGGAGCAAACAGG
rnacentral:rRNA from 1 species